UACGUAGGGUGCGAGCGUUAAUCGGAAUUACUGGGCGUAAAGCGUGCGCAGGCGGUUUUGUAAGCCAGAUGUGAAAUCCCCGGGCUUAACCUGGGAAUGGCAUUUGGGACUGCAAGGCUGGAGUUUGGCAGAGGAGACUGGAAUUCCUGGUGUAGCAGUGAAAUGCGUAGAUAUCAGGAGGAAUACCGAUGGCGAAGGCAGGUCUCUGGGCUAUAACUGACGCUCAUGCACGAAAACGUGGGGAGCAAACAGG
rnacentral:rRNA from 1 species